rnacentral:rRNA from 1 species
UACAGAGGUCUCAAGCGUUGUUCGGAUUCAUUGGGCGUAAAGGGUGCGUAGGCGGCGCGGUAAGUCGGGUGUGAAAUCUCGGGGCUUAACUCCGAAAUUGCAUUCGAUACUGCCGUGCUUGAGGACUGGAGAGGAGACUGGAAUUUACGGUGUAGCGGUGAAAUGCGUAGAUAUCAGGAGGAACACCGGUGGCGAAGGUGGCCCUCUGGACGGAUACUGACGCUGAGGCGCGAAAGCGUGGGGAUCAAACAGG